rnacentral:rRNA from 1 species
UACGGGGGGGGCAAGCGUUGUUCGGAAUUACUGGGCGUAAAGGGCUCGUAGGCGGCCAACUAAGUCAGACGUGAAAUCCCUCGGCUUAACCGGGGAACUGCAUCUGAUACUGGAUGGCUUGAGUUCGGGAGAGGGAUGCGGAAUUCCAGGUGUAGCGGUGAAAUGCGUAGAUAUCUGGAAGAACACCCGUGGCGAAGGCGGCUCUCUGGGACGGUACUGACGCUGAGACGCGAAAGCGUGGGGAGCGAACAGG